ACCCUCGGGCCCGCCGCGUUCGGCCGCUGGAUCCCGAGCCGGCAGGGGCCCCGGGCGGAGCGGCUCCGCGCGCGGCGCUCCGGCCGCCCAGCGCGGGGAGGACGCGCGGCAGCGCCAGCCUCGGGGCCGCGCUGGUUAGGUGGGACUCGAGGGCAUUGCCUAGCGCCCAAGCCAUGGUGGCCAAACAGCGGAUCCGGAUGGCCAACGAGAAGCACAGCAAAAACAUCACCCAGAGGGGGAACGUAGCCAAAACCCUGAGGCCGCAAGAAGAGAAAUACCCUGUGGGACCAUGGCUGUUGGCACUGUUUGUUUUUGUUGUCUGUGGCUCAGGUCGACCCAAAACACUGGCCUUUCCUGGAGACCGCCAGAACUGUCUCGAAACUGUGACACCCAAAGUGGCUGUCACUCCCCUGAGACUGACAAGCAGGAUGUUUGAGGAGCUGGGCAGCCUUGGAGAAGGUCUUCUAUUUCACCACAAAGGGAAGACUGAGGACAUGUCUCUGCCGAGAAACUCCUGCCUCGAGACCUGACAUGGACACUCUGGAAAAGAUGUCUCCUCAGCCACUGGCUCCCUCAAGUCCACAGGUGUUGGUAAUCAGUUGGAGGUGCUGAGGAUGACUCUUGCGUUUUCAGUUUAUAUGCAAGAUGGAGGGUAACGAGGCCAAGUUCGGCAGUGGGAAGGGAUCCUGAGAAGGUCCUGUUGAGUUUGAAGCGUCUUUGAGCCACCUACAUGUAGAUAUCAAUUCAAUGAUGGAAGGUGUGGGUCUGGAGCUCUGGGAAGUCAGGGCUGGCAAUACACAUAGCUAUCUUUCAGAUCAUUCAGAGCAUAAGGAUGGGCAUGUGAGAAGGCCUGGGGAUUUGACCCUGCCCCCUCCCUCUGGAGGGCGGAGGACCACUUAAGCUUUUAGCCAGGGAUCUGUGGGAAGCACACAGCCACACCGAGUAGAAAAAAAAGGCUCCCUCCAUUGUUCCCUGAUCACUUCAUCGUGGAUGUCAGACCACAUUGCCUUCUCACAGGACAUCUUGGUACAUCCGUGUUCUCGAGCGGAAAGGACAUUUUGCUUUUCUGUUGGUGGGAUUGGUAGCUCCCAGAUGUCUGCGGCAGCACCCUGUCUGGUUUUGCCCCUGGUCUCACAAAUGUAUGUAUGUGGCCCUCCGAAGGAUCAUCAGGUUACUUUCUAUGGAUACAGCCUCUCCUCCGUUGGGGAUUGGUUUUACGAAUAAAUGUCUUUGUUCAACCUUA